rnacentral:rRNA from 1 species
GUGAACGCUGGCGGUAGGCCUAACACCUGCCAGUCGAACGGCAGCACAGUAAGAGCUUGCUCUUACGGGUGGCGAGUGGCGGACGGGUGAGGAAUACAUCGGAAUCUACUUUUUCGUGGGGGAUAACGUAGGGAAACUUACGCUAAUACCGCAUACGACCUACGGGUGAAAGCAGGGGAUCUUCGGACCUUGCGCGAUUGAAUGAGCCGAUGUCGGAUUAGCUAGUUGGCGGGGUAAAGGCCCACCAAGGCGACGAUCCGUAGCUGGUCUGAGAGGAUGAUCCGCCACACUGGAACUGAGACACGGUCCAGAGUCCUACGGGAGGCAGCAGUGGGGAAUAUUGGACAAUGGGCGCAAUCCUGAUCCAGCCAUACCGGGUGGGUGAAGAAGGCCUUCGGGUUGUAAAGCCCUUUUGUUGGGAAAGAAAAGCAGCAGGUUAAUACCCCGCUGUUCUGACGGUACCCAAAGAAUAAGCACCGGCUAACUUCGUG